GGAGAGGUAUCUCAGUAGAGGAGAAUUUGCCUUGCAUGCAAAAAGUCCUGGGUUCAAUCCCCAACACCA
rnacentral:tRNA from 1 species